CACACACACACAUACAGUAGACUAUGAGUUGCUGUGUCCAUGACUUAUUGCAUGUAGCUUCAACAGCUCCUAAUAAUAUGCCUGGUACCUAAUCGUGUGCCAAUAACGUUUGUUGAAUGAACAAUCGCAUAAAUUUGAUAUCUAUUUAAUUUUGACAGAAUGGAGUUCUUUGUUCAUUUCACUGAUUCAAGGAUGAAACACUAUGAAAUAAUUACUUCUAAAGUGAUAAUUCCAACAUUCAUCACUCUAUGAAAGAAAACAGAUGCAAAGACAGAUCCAGCCUUUUAAAUAUAAGGAAAAAAUUUAAUUGCAUUAUUAAUAAUAAUGUUUAAACAAUCAAGUCAUCCUGUAGGGGGCCAAGCAGUUUCAGGUUGUGUCAGGGACCUUGCAAGCUUUGCGACCUUCUGACUUCCUACUGUAGUACUGUAACAGUAUACCACCUGCUUUCUGCUGUGAAUAAUUACCAUUCUGCUUCCUGAAUUACCUGGGCUUGCAGGACCAGUUUUGCUAUGAAAUGAGAUCACAUCCCCUGAUCAACGUUCUGCUAUUAACGUGUGCUGCACGAAAUGUGGCUUUGUUUCAGUUCUGAUAUUCACUUUGAAUUCUCUACUUGCGCUUUAGUCGAAACCGUAUUUACAUUUUCCCCAAGUGGGGAUACUAGCAACAUACCACGGUGCAGAGCCAGUUUUGUUUUUCAGUGUUCCCGAUCUGUGUCUCUUACAGAAAUA